rnacentral:rRNA from 1 species
UACGUAGGGGCCUAGCGUUGUCCGGAAUUAUUGGGCGUAAAGAGCUCGUAGGCGGUUCGGCAAGUCGGAUGUGAAAUCUCCACGCUUAACGUGGAGGGGCAGUUCGAAACUGCUGUGACUCGAGUCCGGUAGGGGAGUGUGGAAUUCCCGGUGUAGCGGUGAAAUGCGCAGAUAUCGGGAGGAACACCAGUAGCGAAGGCGGUUCUCUGGGCCUGACCUGACGCUGAGGAGCGAAAGCGUGGGGAGCGAACAGG